CCUACGGGUGGCAGCAGUGAGGAAUAUUGGUCAAUGGCCGGAAGGCUGAACCAGCCAUGCCGCGUGAAGGUCAGUGCCCUAUGGGCGUUAAACUUCUUUUGUGCGGGAGCAAUAAUGGUCACGUGUGGCCAGACGAUAGUACCGUACGAAUAAGCAUCGGCUAACUCCGUGCCAGCAGCCGCGGUAAUACGGGGGAUGCAAGCGUUGUCCGGAAUUACUGGGUGUAAAGGGAGCGUAGGCGGGAAAGCAAGUUGAAUGUUUAAGGUACGGGCUCAACCUGUACAAGCGUUCAAAACUGUUUUUCUUGAGUGGAGUAGAGGUAAGCGGAAUUCCUAGUGUAGCGGUGAAAUGCGUAAAUAUUAGGAGGAACACCAGUGGCGAAGGCGGCUUACUGGGCUUUAACUGACGCUGAGGCUCGAAAGCGUGGGUAGCAAACAGGAUUAGAUACCCCUGUAGUC
rnacentral:rRNA from 1 species